ACUCGUGACGGUGGAUGUCUUGGCUCCAGCAACGAUGAARAACGCAGCAAAAUGCGAUACGUAGUGCGAAUUGCARAACCCGUGAAUCAUCAAAUCUUUGAACGCAAGUUGCGCUCGCGGGCAAUCCUGCGAGCAUGUCUGUUUGAGUGUCCGCACAAAU
rnacentral:rRNA from 1 species